rnacentral:lncRNA from 1 species
CUCAUUGUAGGAACACUGAUAAUUUAAGAACUGAUAUUUUAAUAAAAGAGUUAAAAAAAAAAAAAAGAACUGAUAUUUUAAUAAAAGAGUUUUAUGGGGAAAUUCUUCUGGGAAAAAUCUUUGUUUAAACAAAAUGGAUUUUUUUCACUAUGAUUUUCUCAGAGUAAUAUGACUCCUUAUGAAAGGGAAAUAACAUGCAUUACUGCCCAAGUUGUUUGCCCAUCAUAUCUUUGAUUUUAUGAUUUAAGACAUGUUAUUAUUGUUAUCUGUAUUCAUUGUUUGAUGUUAAAAAAUACAUUUCUUUAUACUCUGCAUGUUAAGUGAUUUGGUAUAAAUCCUACUUGUUUCUUUUUAUUCUUUUAAAUGCAAUAAUGCAAUGAAAACUAAUUUUAUUG